UGGCGGCGUGCUUAACACAUGCAAGUCGAACGGAAAGGCCUCUGCUUGCAGGGGUACUCGAGUGGCGAACGGGUGAGUAACACGUGGGUGAUCUGCCCUGCACUUCGGGAUAAGCCUGGGAAACUGGGUCUAAUACCGGAUAGGACSAUGGUUUGGAUGSWAURGUGGAAAGUUUUUUCGGUGUGGGAUGAGCUCGCGGCCUAUCAGCUUGUUGGUGGGGUAAUGGCCUACCAAGGCGUCGACGGGUAGCCGGCCUGAGAGGGUGUACGGCCACAUUGGGACUGAGAUACGGCCCAGACUCCUACGGGAGGCAGCAGUGGGGAAUAUUGCACAAUGGGCGCAAGCCUGAUGCAGCGACGCCGCGUGGGGGAUGACGGCCUUCGGGUUGUAAACUCCUUUCGCUAGGGACGAAGCGCA
rnacentral:rRNA from 1 species